GGAAGGUUACUCAAACGGUAAAGAGGCUUGGUUGGAAACCAAGUAGAUGUGUAACAGCAUGUGUGGGUUCGAAUCCCAUGCCUUCCA
rnacentral:tRNA from 11 species